UUCCAGACUCCUACGGGAGGCAGCAGUGAGGAAUAUUGGUCAAUGGGCGCGAGCCUGAACCAGCCAAGUCGCGUGAGGGAAGACGGUCCUAUGGAUUGUAAACCUCUUUUGUCGGGGAGCAAAAGACGCCACGCGUGGCGUUCCGAGAGUACCCGAAGAAAAAGCAUCGGCUAACUCCGUGCCAGCAGCCGCGGUAAUACGGAGGAUGCGAGCGUUAUCCGGAUUUAUUGGGUUUAAAGGGUGCGCAGGCGGAUUUUUAAGUCAGCGGUAAAAUCGUGGGGCUCAACCCCUUCCAGCCGUUGAAACUGGGGAUCUAGAGUGUGCGAGAGGUAUGCGGAAUGCGUGGUGUAGCGGUGAAAUGCAUAGAUAUCACGCAGAACCCCGAUUGCGAAGGCAGCAUACCGGUGCACAACUGACGCUCAGGCACGAAAGCGUGGGUAUCGAACAGGAUUAGAUACCCUGGUA
rnacentral:rRNA from 1 species